rnacentral:rRNA from 1 species
GACGAACGCUGGCGGCGUGCCUAAUACAUGCAAGUCGAGCGGAUUUCAAGGAGCUUGCUCCUUGAUUUCAGCGGCGGACGGGUGAGUAACACGUGGGCAACCUGCCUAUAAGACUGGGAUAACUUCGGGAAACCGGAGCUAAUACCGGAUAAUCCUUUUCCUCUCAUGAGGGAAAGCUGAAAGACGGCGUAAGCUGUCACUUAUAGAUGGGCCCGCGGCGCAUUAGCUAGUUGGUGAGGUAACGGCUCACCAAGGCGACGAUGCGUAGCCGACCUGAGAGGGUGAUCGGCCACACUGGGACUGAGACACGGCCCAGACUCCUACGGGAGGCAGCAGUAGGGAAUCUUCCGCAAUGGACGAAAGUCUGACGGAGCAACGCCGCGUGAGCGAAGAAGGCCUUCGGGUCGUAAAGCUCUGUUGUUAGGGAAGAACAAGUGUCGGAGUAACUGCCGGCACCUUGACGGUACCUAACCAGAAAGCCACGGCUAACUACGUGCCAGCAGCCGCGGUAAUACGUAGGUGGCAAGCGUUGUCCGGAAUUAUUGGGCGUAAAGCGCGCGCAGGCGGUCUUUUAAGUCUGAUGUGAAAGCCCCCGGCUCAACCGGGGAGGGUCAUUGGAAACUGGAGGACUUGAGUGCAGAAGAGAAGAGCGGAAUUCCACGUGUAGCGGUGAAAUGCGUAGAGAUGUGGAGGAACACCAGUGGCGAAGGCGGCUCUUUGGUCUGUAACUGACGCUGAGGCGCGAAAGCGUGGGGAGCAAACAGGAUUAGGUACCCUGGUAGUCCACGCCGUAAACGAUGAGUGCUAAGUGUUAGAGGGUUUCCGCCCUUUAGUGCUGCAGCAAACGCAUUAAGCACUCCGCCUGGGGAGUACGGCCGCAAGGCUG